rnacentral:rRNA from 1 species
AGAGUUUGAUCCUGGCUCAGAUUGAACGCUGGCGGCAUGCCUUACACAUGCAAGUCGAACGGUAACGGGCCUUCGGGUGCCGACGAGUGGCGAACGGGUGAGUAAUGCAUCGGAACGUACCUUCAGUGGGGAUAACGUAGCGAAAGUUACGCUGAUACCGCAUAUUCUGUGAGCAGGAAAGCAGGGGAUCGCAAGACCUUGCGCUGAUUGAGCGGCCGAUGUCAGAUUAGCUAGUUGGUGAGGUAAAGGCUCACCAAGGCGACGAUCUGUAGCGGGUCUGAGAGGAUGAUCCGCCACACUGGAACUGAGACACGGUCCAGACUCCUACGGGAGGCAGCAGUGGGGAAUUUUGGACAAUGGGGCAACCCUGAUCCAGCCAUGCCGCGUGAGUGAAGAAGGCCUUCGGGUUGUAAAGCUCUUUCGGCCGGGAAGAAAUCGCAUGGGUUAAUACCCUGUGCGGAUGACGGUACCGGCAUAAGAAGCACCGGCUAACUACGUG